rnacentral:tRNA from 1 species
GUCCAGGAUAACCUAGUGGACAUGGCAUCUGCCCGGUAAGCGGAACACUGGGUUCGAUUACCAUCCCUGGACA